rnacentral:rRNA from 1 species
CCUACGGGUGGCAGCAGUGGGGAAUAUUGGGCAAUGGGCGCAAGCCUGACCCAGCAACGCCGCGUGAAGGAAGACGGCUCUCGGGUUGUAAACUUCUUUUAUCAGGGACGAAGCAAGUGACGGUACCUGAUGAAUAAGCCACGGCUAACUACGUGCCAGCAGCCGCGGUAAUACGUAGGUGGCAAGCGUUAUCCGGAUUUACUGGGUGUAAAGGGUGUGUAGGCGGGAAAGCAAGUCAGAUGUGAAAACCAUGGGCUCAACCUGUGGCCUGCAUUUGAAACUGUUUUACUUGAGUACUGGAGAGGCAGACGGAAUUCCUAGUGUAGCGGUGAAAUGCGUAGAUAUUAGGAGGAACACCAGUGGCGAAGGCGGUCUGCUGAACAGCAACUGACGCUGAGGCGCGAAAGCGUGGGGAGCAAACAGGAUUAGAUACCCGGGUAGUC